rnacentral:rRNA from 1 species
CGGUAAGACGGAGGGUGCAAGCGUUGUUCGGAUUGACUGGGCGUAAAGGGCGUGAAGGCGGUUCGUUAAGUCGGGUGUGAAAGCCCGGGGCUCAGCUCCGGAAGCGCGUCCGAAACUGGCGAGCUGGAGCGCGGUAGAGGAGGGUGGAAUUCCUGGUGUAGCGGUGAAAUGCGUAGAUAUCAGGAGGAACACCGGCGGCGAAGGCGGCCCUCUGGACCGUUGCUGACGCUGAGACGCGAAAGCGUGGGGAGCAAACAGGAUUAGAUACCCUGGUAGUCCACGCUGUAAACUAUGGGUACUA